rnacentral:rRNA from 1 species
GGUUCAUUCAAAUUUCUGCCCUAUCAACUUUCGACGGCUGGGUCUUGGCCAGCCGUGGUGACAACGGGUAACGGAGGGUAGGGCUCGACCCCGGAGAAGGAGCCUGAGAAACGGCUACUACAUCCAAGGAAGGCAGCAGGCGCGCAAAUUACCCAAUCCCGACCGGGGAGGUAGUGACAAUAAAUACUGAUACAGGGCUCUUUCGGGUCUUGUAAUUGGAAUGAGUACAAUUUAAAUCCCUUAACGAGGAACAAUUGGAGGGCAAGUCUGGUGCCAGCAGCCGCGGUAAUUCCAGCUCCAAUAGCGUAUAUUAAAGUUGUGAGGUUAAAAAGCUCGUAGUUG